UCGUGGAGUGAUCUGUCUGCUUAAUUGCGUUUCAGAUAUAAAAAGGUAAGCUUUAUAUAAGCGAGGCUUUUUGGCACGUAAGUGUCUAUUGGCUGAGCAGGCUACCUUAUGAAAGCAACGAACGUGACCUCAUAUCAAUGUUGUCUCAUCUAUAUAUGAGAGACUCUUUGAUGACUGCCAGGGCUGUCAACCCGGAGGAAGGAUGAGGCAA
rnacentral:rRNA from 1 species